rnacentral:rRNA from 1 species
UGCGAGUGAAGCGGGAAAAGCUCAAAUUUGUAAUCUGACAGUUUUAUUGACUGUCCGAGUUGUAAACUAGAGAAGUGCUAUCCGCGCUGGACCGUGUACAAGUCUCCUGGAAUGGAGCGUCAUAGAGGGUGAGAAUCCCGUCUUUGACACGGACUGCCAGGGCUUUUGUGAUGCGCUCUCAAAGAGUCGAGUUGUUUGGGAAUGCAGCUCAAAAUGGGUGGUAAAUUCCAUCUAAAGCUAAAUAUUGGCGAGAGACCGAUAGCGAACAAGUACCGUGAGGGAAAGAUGAAAAGAACUUUGGAAAGAGAGUUAAACAGUACGUGAAAUUGUUGAAAGGGAAACGCUUGAAGUCAGUCGCGUCAUCCAGGGAUCAACCUUGCGGAUCCGUUCGCAGGGUGCACUUCCUGGCUUUGACGGGUCAGCAUCAAUUUUGACCGUCGGAUAAAGGUCAGGGGAAUGUGGCAUCUUCGGAUGUGUUAUAGCCCCUAAUCGCAUACGGUGGUUGGGAUUGAGGAACUCAGCAUGCCGAAAGGCCGGGGUCUUUUAAAGACUCACGUAAACGUGCUUAGGAUGUUGGCGAAAUGGCUUCAAUCGACCCGUCUUGAAACACGGACCAAGGAGUCUAACAUGCCUGCGAGUGUUUGGGUGGAAAACCCAAGCGCGUAAUGAAAGUGAAAGUUGAGACCUCUGUCGUGGAGGGCAUCGACGCCCGGACCUGACCUUUUGUGACGGAUCCGYGGUAGAGCAUGUAUGUUGGGACCCGAAAGAUGGUGAACUAUGCCUGAAUAGGGUG